ACUCAAAGGAAUAGACGGGGGCCCGCACAAGCGGCGGAGCAUGUGGAUUAAUUCGAUGCAACGCGAAGAACCUUACCUGGGUUUGACAUACACCGGAAAACCGUAGAGAUACGGUCCCCCUUGUGGUCGGUGUACAGGUGGUGCAUGGCUGUCGUCAGCUCGUGUCGUGAGAUGUUGGGUUAAGUCCCGCAACGAGCGCAACCCUUGUCUUAUGUUGCCAGCGCGUUAUGGCGGGGACUCGUAAGAGACUGCCGGGGUCAACUCGGAGGAAGGUGGGGACGACGUCAAGUCAUCAUGCCCCUUAUGUCCAGGGCUUCACACAUGCUACAAUGGCCAGUACAGAGGGCUGCGAGACCGUGAGGUGGAGCGAAUCCCUUAAAGCUGGUCUCAGUUCGGAUCGGGGUCUGCAACUCGACCCCGUGAAGUCGGAGUCGCUAGUAAUCGCAGAUCAGCAACGCUGCGGUGAAUACGUUCCCGGGCCUUGUACACACCGCCCGU
rnacentral:rRNA from 1 species